UUCUUAAAGAAAUAAUUUUAAGUAAUAUCUGCUCAAUGUAAAAUAAAUAGCCGCAGAAUUUUUACUGUGCUAAGGUAGCAUAAUCAUUAGCUUCUUAAUUAGAGACUAGAAUGAAAGAUUUAACAUUUAAUAACUUUUUUAAAUAAAAACUAAAACUUAUAUUAAAUAUAAAAUAUAUUUAUAAAAAAAAUAGACGACAAGACCCUAUCGAACUUAACUGUAGUUUAGCUGGGGCAGCACACUAAAUAAAAUUUUAAUAUAAUAAAAAAAAUAAAUGACCCAAUAAUAUUGAAUAAAUGACAAAGUUACCGUAGGGAUAACAGCGUAAUAUAUUUUAAAACUCAUAUUUAAAAAUAAGUUUACGACCUCGAUGUUGAAUUAUUUCUCUUUUUAGCGCAAUAGCUUUAAAAGAAGGUCUGUUCGACCUUUAAAUUCUUACA
rnacentral:rRNA from 1 species